rnacentral:lncRNA from 1 species
UCUUGCCGGAGAGGCGCUCGGUGGAUUCACCUCUGUUCCAGAUCAAUCUUUGGCCGCACCUCUCAAACCUAGAACUCGCCGAUCCGAAGCAAAAUGAAGAUGAAGAUCAACAAGGCCUGCGAUCUCCGCUCCAUCUUCGUCCUUCCUCCUCACUCAAGGUUUAAAUUCGCUACAAUCUCAAAUUUCGUCGACGAUGUUAUUAACUCGAUUGGUGAUUUUCUUAUUUCUGUUUGUGGAUUUUAGGAUGCUAACUUGAUCAGCAGUACGUCUUUCUCCGACGUCGAUCUCUGAUUUGGAGUCAUCGAUCUCUGAUUUGAAGUCGAUCU